CUCAGGACGAACGCUGGCGGCGUGCCUAAUACAUGCAAGUCGAACGAACUCUGGUAUUGAUUGGUGCUUGCAUCAUGAUUUACAUUUGAGUGAGUGGCGAACUGGUGAGUAACACGUGGGAAACCUGCCCAGAAGCGGGGGAUAACACCUGGAAACAGAUGCUAAUACCGCAUAACAACUUGGACCGCAUGGUCCGAGUUUGAAAGAUGGCUUCGGCUAUCACUUUUGGAUGGUCCCGCGGCGUAUUAGCUAGAUGGUGGGGUAACGGCUCACCAUGGCAAUGAUACGUAGCCGACCUGAGAGGGUAAUCGGCCACAUUGGGACUGAGACACGGCCCAAACUCCUACGGGAGGCAGCAGUAGGGAAUCUUCCACAAUGGACGAAAGUCUGAUGGAGCAACGCCGCGUGAGUGAAGAAGGGUUUCGGCUCGUAAAACUCUGUUGUUAAAGAAGAACAUAUCUGAGAGUAACUGUUCAGGUAUUGACGGUAUUUAACCAGAAAGCCACGGCUAACUACGUGCCAGCAGCCGCGGUAAUACGUAGGUGGCAAGCGUUGUCCGGAUUUAUUGGGCGUAAAGCGAGCGCAGGCGGUUUUUUAAGUCUGAUGUGAAAGCCUUCGGCUCAACCGAAGAAGUGCAUCGGAAACUGGGAAACUUGAGUGCAGAAGAGGACAGUGGAACUCCAUGUGUAGCGGUGAAAUGCGUAGAUAUAUGGAAGAACACCAGUGGCGAAGGCGGCUGUCUGGUCUGUAACUGACGCUGAGGCUCGAAAGUAUGGGUAGCAAACAGGAUUAGAUACCCUGGUAGUCCAUACCGUAAACGAUGAAUGCUAAGUGUUGGAGGGUUUCCGCCCUUCAGUGCUGCAGCUAACGCAUUAAGCAUUCCGCCUGGGGAGUACGGCCGCAAGGCUGAAACUCAAAGGAAUUGACGGGGGCCCGCACAAGCGGUGGAGCAUGUGGUUUAAUUCGAAGCUACGCGAAGAACCUUACCAGGUCUUGACAUACUAUGCAAAUCUAAGAGAUUAGACGUUCCCUUCGGGGACAUGGAUACAGGUGGUGCAUGGUUGUCGUCAGCUCGUGUCGUGAGAUGUUGGGUUAAGUCCCGCAACGAGCGCAACCCUUAUUAUCAGUUGCCAGCAUUAAGUUGGGCACUCUGGUGAGACUGCCGGUGACAAACCGGAGGAAGGUGGGGAUGACGUCAAAUCAUCAUGCCCCUUAUGACCUGGGCUACACACGUGCUACAAUGGAUGGUACAACGAGUUGCGAACUCGCGAGAGUAAGCUAAUCUCUUAAAGCCAUUCUCAGUUCGGAUUGUAGGCUGCAACUCGCCUACAUGAAGUCGGAAUCGCUAGUAAUCGCGGAUCAGCAUGCCGCGGUGAAUACGUUCCCGGGCCUUGUACACACCGCCCGUCACACCAUGAGAGUUUGUAACACCCAAAGUCGGUGGGGUAACCUUUUAGGAACCAGCCGCCUAAGGUGGGACAGAUGAUUAGGGUGAAGUCGUA
rnacentral:rRNA from 1 species